GAGCUAGAUGGGGUCAACGACCCCCAUCUGAAAGCUGGAAAAAAAAAAUUUCGCCUGGAGAAAUGUGGCGAUGUAAGCGAAGCGGUCGCUGGCGACUUUCUGCAGAACAAAUCAAGAAAGCAAGACUUCUUGCCAAGAAAAGAAACAGAGGACAACCAAGUGAGGAUGGACAGCAACAGGAUUCUGCUAUCAACCUUACAGAAAGUACAGCAGAAGUUAUGGCAGAAGUGAUGGAAGGCUCUUUGGAUGGGAAUCAAGAAUCCCAGAAUGCUGUUAUUACAGAAGAGCCCCAUACCUCUUCGCAAGACACCCUGCCUAUUUCAGGAUUUUUCAUAUGAAACUGGACCAAGUGAAACAUAAGCUUUUCGGGAGUGUUGAUGCCUGAGCAGAGGUCAGUGUGGGGUUAAAAGGUGCUGCUCCGGACAAAAGGGCUGCUAGAAAUAUAAGGCUUUAUGUCAAUAGUUCAUCCAUCGUCAAAUCAUGAUGCUAUCAUCAAUCUUGAAAACAGGCUGAACACAAACUAAGAGUGCAUCCUGAAGGGAUACAGUAAUAGAUAAUGCAUCUGGGAAUGAUUUACAGAGUAGCAUGUUGGAACCAAAGCUGGGGAUAAAGGACUGUGUGGAUGCAUAACUUCAAAGCUAACAGCAAAACUGAGAAAAAAAUUCACCAGGAAAAAAAUUUCAGG